rnacentral:rRNA from 1 species
UACAGAGGUCCCAAGCGUUGUUCGGAUUCACUGGGCGUAAAGGGUGCGUAGGCGGCUGUUCGAGUCGGGUGAUGAAUCCUGAGGCUUAACCUUGGGUCUGCAUUCGAUACUGGGCGGCUUGAGGUCUGGUAGGGGGAUCUGGAAUUCCUGGUGUAGCGGUGGAAUGCGCAGAUAUUAGGAGGAACACCGGUGGCGAAGGCGGUUCUCUGGGCAUUACCUGACGCUGGAGGAAGCGAAAGUGUGGGGAGCGAACAGG